CAAUUAUCUACCGACCAACAAAUAUAUAAUGACAAUUACAAAUGCAAGGUGUGUCUAGUCCCCCUCCUUCAUUUUCUGUGACUUUCUUGUUUUGCUUCUCCGCACUUUUCUUUCGCAACCAACCUUGCCGCUAAUGGUAACCCGAUUGUGUAUUAAACAUACAAACAUACACAAUCAUUAUAAAUACAUGGCACGCCUAUCUGCCUCCUUGCCUCAGUGUCCAUUAUAUAUUUUUUCUCUUCUUGUUUUCCUUCCCAACCUAUUGUGACCUUCCUUUUAUCGACGGCUCCUCCCAUCUCGAUUCAUCAUCCAAUCCACCACCAUUGCUCUGAUACCAACCACCAUCUACCACCAUCAUACGGUUAUUUGUCGAACCUAUACACAUGUCAAUUACACAGACAUGGUGCGUGUCGCACCUCCAUUUCCCACCGCUUUUGUUCCCCUCACACCUACCUCACCGCCGAUGCCGACUCGUGUCUGAUUACCUGUCACACACGCAAACACACAUAAAUAACCAUAAAUAAAGGGCUCCCCUUCCUCUUCCGCUCCUUUUUGCUCCUGCCAUCUCCGCGCUCUUUCUCUCCAGCCUACCUCGUCGCGGAGGCAUCCUUUUGCCGGCCACUCCUCCUCUUGUUGCUUCAUUGUUGGAUCUGCAGUCGUCGCUACCCCGUGGCCCGUCAUCCGCCACCUCCGCAAGCAGCGAGAAACUGAGGCGGGAUAACAAUUAUCAUCCCGUCGUCGAUGAGGUUUCGAGGGUGUUUCAUUCAGCGAUUUUUGGGAGAAGGAAUUGAUGUAAGGCGGUACUUGACAGCGCCACACGGCCUCCCGGUGAGGCCAGGGUCCCACCCACGCCACCUAACAGCAUGGCAGAUCCCUAACGCGGUUGGGGAUGUACUUUGGCCACAAAAAAACUAAUUUAUGAAAUCGUAUGAAAAUUUCAGCCCGAGCGGAGUUACGGAUCUCUAGAUAUUUAAGAAAUGGUGCUUAGCAUCAGAAAAAUUAGCAAAAAAAGACAAACAAAGAGUGAAGAGAGCCAAUCUUGGAGGGGCUCUCGCCCCUUUAGGGGCCAUGGAGAUCAAGGACCAGUGGGGAAAACGUCUUCCGAUCUCGGGGAGAGGCCAUGGAAGAAUAAGGAGGGGGGCUCUCUCCCCCUCUCUCCCGAUGGAUUUGGAGUGCCGCCAGAGGAAUCAUCAUCACAACGAUCGUCUCCAACAACUUCGCCGUCUUCAUCAAAAUCUCCAUUACCUUUCUCCCUCUCUAUUCAGUAGUCCACUCUCCCGCAACCCGCCGUAAUCCCCUACUUAAACAUGGUUUUGGUGCUAUGAAUUAUUAUCCAAUGAUUUGUGUUAUCGCUAUUAUGUCUAAGUAGAUUGAUUUGUGAAUCAGUAUGAUUGGUUUGAGUUGCAUGUGGUUAUAUUA